UACGAAGGGGGCUAGCGUUGCUCGGAAUUACUGGGCGUAAAGCGCACGUAGGCGGCUUUCUAAGUCGGGGGUGAAAUCCUGGAGCUCAACUCCAGAACUGCCUUCGAUACUGGAAAGCUCGAGUCCGGGAGAGGUGAGUGGAACUGCGAGUGUAGAGGUGAAAUUCGUAGAUAUUCGCAAGAACACCAGUGGCGAAGGCGGCUCACUGGUCCGGUACUGACGCUGAGGUGCGAAAGCGUGGGGAGCAAACAGG
rnacentral:rRNA from 1 species